rnacentral:misc_RNA from 1 species
UACGAAGGUGGCAAGCGUUACUCGGAAUUACUAGGCGUAAAGCGCAGGUAGGCGGUUCGAUAAGUCCUUUGUGAAAGCUCCCGGCUUAACUGGGAGAGGCCAAGGGAUACUGUUGGACUCGAGUGUGGUAGAGGAAACUGGAAUUCCCGGUGUAGCGGUGAAAUGCGUAGAUAUCGGGAGGAAUACCUAUGGCGAAAGCAGGUUUCUGGGCCAUCACUGACGCUGAGCUGCGAAAGCUAGGGGAGCAAACAGG